GAUCAUGGCUCAGGAUGAACGCUGGCGGCGUGCCUAACACAUGCAAGUCGAGCGAUUCUCUUCGGAGAAGAGCGGCGGACGGGUGAGUAACGCGUGGGUAACCUGCCUCAUACACAUGGAUAACAUACCGAAAGGUAUGCUAAUACAGGAUAAUAUAAGAGAUUCACAUGGAUUUCUUAUCAAAGCUCCGGCGGUAUGAGAUGGACCCGCGUCUGAUUAGCUAGUUGGUAAGGUAACGGCUUACCAAGGCGACGAUCAGUAGCCGACCUGAGAGGGUGAUCGGCCACAUUGGAACUGAGACACGGUCCAAACUCCUACGGGAGGCAGCAGUGGGGAAUAUUGCACAAUGGGCGAAAGCCUGAUGCCAGCAACGCCGCGUGAGUGAUGAAGGCCUUCGGGUCGUAAAACUCUGUCCUCAAGGAAGAUAAUGACGGUACUUGAGGAGGAAGCCCCGGCUAACUACGUGCCAGCAGCCGC
rnacentral:rRNA from 1 species